AAUUGUUUCAAGUAACUUACAUGGCUACAUUUACAGACACAAAGAGGAGCUGGACUGAUGUUUAGUUGUCUUGCACCAGCUUGUAUUUUUAGAUUAUCUAGUAUCCCAGGAAAAGGGUUUAUAUCCAAGAUAAUCCUUGCUCUGGACUGGUUUUCUUUCUGUGUUUUGACCCUCCCAGAAGCAGAAGAGUCAUCUUGCAUCUCGGUAAAAGCAGAGAAGGGGAAAUAUCUUUGAAUUGCUGGAUAGCACAGCUUUUCUCAUUCAGCAUUUUUUGUGUUUUGCACAAGAAAACUUCUUACUGCAAAAUUUGUUUGUUGGCGGAUCACAGACUUCAAAGUCACAGGAACUUAUCUGUGAUAUACUGAAAGUAAAUCCAAUGUAUUAAAUAGUUUAGUCAAAAUAAGGUAGAGAGGCCGUGAAGGGUCUGUAAACAUUUGAGAUCGGAUGCAAAGAAGCAUGAGGACCUUCAUUUUCACUCCAGUGGUUGUGGUGACCGUGGAGAGGAAUAAACAACAGAAGAAACACACACUCACAUGAACACACGGGCACACAGAUACACCACAGAAUGGAGAGCAAUAAAUUAUUGGUCUCAUUCCUGCCUGGUUCCAAAGAAGAGGUGCCAUUAAAGCCUCCCAGGCCACUUCCCCACCUCUCCCCUGACCGGGCCCCCUCCAUCUGGUAGUUGCCAGUCAAUGUUGGAGGUCUGACCCAUGCUUUUCUCUCCUUGGGAAAAGACAUGACUUGCCCCUCCUUGCCUUUCACCAUGAUUAUGAGGCCUCCCCAGCCACAUGGAACCUAAUUAAACUUUUUUCUUUCGUAAAUUGCCCAGUCACAGUUAUGUCUUUAUCAGCAGCAUGAAAAAGGACUAAUACAGUAAAUUGGUGCCAGUAGACUGGAAUGUUGCUGAAAAAAAUACCUGAAAAUGUGGAAGCAACUUUGGAACUGGGUAAAACAGGCAGAGGUUGGAACAGUUUGGAGGACUCAGAAGAAGACAAGAAAAUGUAGGAAAGUUUGGAACUUCCUAGAGAUUUGUUGAAUGGUGUUGACCAAAAACCUGGCAGCAAUAUGGACAAUAAGGUCCUGGCUGAGGUGG